UGGACUAGUCUGAAAAGACUUAAGCCAUGGAGUCGCAAUCCAACUUUCAUUUAAAAUAGAUAUCUCAAGAAAUACAUUGAUGGCCAGUACAUAGCAAAAUUUGCAUGCCUCUUCACAGCAAAAUAGUUAUAAUAUUUUUCUAAGUACACAAAGCUAAGAGAAACACGUAUACAUUACAACAAAGCACAAAGGAUGGCUUGAGAGUAUUUCAUUUCCAAGUACUGUCACGAUAUCAACUUGUUGGCACGUAAACAUGACAACAAAAAUAAUGGAUGGCACUGAAAGGAUGGCUUGAGAGUAUUUCUUUUACAAUUUCUUCAGCUAAGCAUAUCAGACCUGACAUUGAAAGGAUAAAACAUGAGAAUCAAAAAUAUGGAACAAAGGAAAUAAAAUAAAUACAAAUAAUUGCAUCGAAUACUAAAAUUACAACAAGUUGAUCCGAGAAUAAUUAAGUGAGGAGGACCAAAACAGUAUGCAUUUUUAAGCUAUAAUUACAUGGUGCUAAAUUCAUACCCAAUUACCAAGGAACCCAGGACAUAUAAGAUCAUAGUAGUAUAUUUGUUGUACAUUAAUUUCUACAAUGAACAUGAAGUGAGGAGGACCACAAGUAAAUACAAAUUAUAUUUCUGCACACGUACAGUGAUGAUACCCAAAAAUAUUUAAUCUAGAAGAGACAGUACGAUCUGAUCUAUUAUCUCUUGGUCUCCUAAUUCCUUCAUAAUCAAUCCAGCAGGUAAUUUCGUUCUGUAGAUGAAACCAAUGUAAGUCAAGAUGGAAGUGANNNNNNNNNNGGAAGAGACACUACGAUCUGAUCUAUUAUCUCUUGGUCUUCUAAUUCCUUCAUAAUUAAUCCAGUAUGUAAUUUCGUUCUGUAGAUGAAACCAAUGUAAGUCAAGAUGGAAGUGAAAAAAUCCAUUGCAUGUUCUCCAUCAGCACGAGUGACAGAUUAAUUAGCAGGUGCCCUUGGUGGAGGGUUCACCUACCCGUGCUGCCCAGGCAGGCUAUGCAGGCACAAACAGACGCACGACUUGCAAAGCUGAGCACCAGAUGACUAUUAGCAGGGUACUACCAGGGGAGUGGUGGAAACAACAAAGGAAUAACAUCAGGUUCGGGUGAAAUACAGCCGCAUGUGUUGGAUGAUGCUACAACUAGGCACAAUAACGUCAGGUUGGUGCAUAUCCAAGCAUCAUGCAUCUAACUGCUUUUGUUUCCUUUUUCUUAGUGUUUGUAUGUUUGAAAAUAGUACAUGAAAAAAAAUGAGAGUUUCGGCAGCCGACCUAACUGAUUUGGUAGCCCUUUAUGCGAUUCCUAAAUUCUUAGAUGCAUUGUUGAUCUGAUUUCCAAGUUUGACCAUGACAACAAAUACGUAAUGCAAUGCGACCAUAAGAAAGCAUCUAAGCUAAACAGCUUUAUAUAACGAUAGAUUAGACUUACUUCCUUUUGAAGAUCUUGAUUUUUCUUGAACUGGAUGUAUCGCUUUAUCUUUGUUUGUCACAGUACAAUGCAGUUAGCAACAAAGUGCUUUUUAUUUGGAUAAGUUGUUAAUAUAUNNNNNNNNNNCGCUUGACCAUGACAACAAAUACGUAAUGCAAUGCGAUCAUAAGAAAGCAUCUAAGCUAAACAACUUUAUAUAACGAUAGAUUAGACUUACUUCCUUUUGAAGAUCUUGAUUUUUCUUGAACUGGAUGUAUCACUUUAUCUUUGUUUGUCACACUACAGUGCAGUUAGCAACAAAGUGCUUUUUAUUUGGAUAAGUUGUUAAUAUAUCAAGAGGAACCAAGGACAAUCAUCCAUAUUGGCAGGUUAUUAUUUAUGCAGGUAAAGAUUAGAGAACAAGAAUAGUCGCACUCGCACUUCUUCUCAUGAAAAAUCUUUAUGUUUGGGAUCAGUUGGCUAUAUCAUUUACUUAAUCAAUAUGAUUAAUAAGUAACUCACUACUGGAAUCUGCUGGUUUGCCGACAGCCAGAGCUGACGGCAAAGGCCGUCANNNNNNNNNNAAAAAAUCUUUAUGUUUGGGAUCAAUUGGCUAUAUCAUUUACUUAAUCAAUAUGAUUAAUAAGUAACUGUGGUUAAAAUCCUAGAGGAAUACGAUCUGAUCUGUAGUGCAACACAGUUUCAAUGAAAAUAAUAUUGCUAGACCACACAUUAUGGUUAGCCUCCGCCUCCCACGAUCCUUGGCUCCAAGCCGUCAGCGCUCUAAAUCAAUCUUGCUCCGAUGGUCCGCCGACCAGCACGCAUUAUUUAUUCAUGAUGAUGUGUCUCCAGCGACAAAAUAAAGUAUCUAUCAUUCCCAGGUGCAUCGACAAGGAUGACAAGAGAGCACAUGCACACAAUGAGUUAAAAGAUGCAGAUUCUGUUCCACCGUCGGUUCUCGGUAUGUUUCCGUGGUUGCCUUUGAAUCUUCAGUUAUCAAUAUCAGCAACCAACCAGGAUGCAGAAGCAGGCUAGAUGCCUUGACUGAUGUGUAAAAAAACACUAAUGAAUUGCUUUUCAGUUUGGGACAUGCAUGGAUGCAUGUGCGUAUCUACAUCUACCCAUCGGCUUACUUAGCAUAUAUAGUGGUGUAUGCGUCAUUGCUCAACUUCUGGCCAGGCACGAUUUAGGGGGGGGGGGGAAGGGGGGCUAGACCCCCUAACAAAUUGUUUUUCUACUAUAAUAGUAAUUGUUGUAGCCAAAAAAAUCAUUUCAUAUGAACUUUGCCCCCUUCAUGUACAAACUUGCCCCCCUAUGCUUGCAUGUUGGCUCCGUCCCUGCUUCUGGCCUUACAAUUCCAAGAAAAAAUAGUUUCGGUCAUAUGUGCUCGCAUUAGCAUCAAAUAGCUAACACGUAGUUAAAUUCUCUGAUUGCUCAACCUCUUCAUAGCUUUCUAGAAACUUAAAGACUUUAAUGGCUUAUCAUUAGGUUUCACUAGCCGUCUAAAUAGAUGUUUCUGACUUUUGGUUUGUUGUAUGUUUUUCAUUUACCAGAACAUAUGUGACAAAGCUGGAAUUUGGUAUAAAACCUCUAAAUUAGGUUGGUUACCUCAGGAUCUUGAGAUUAGUAAUAGAGAUUUAAGAUUACUUUUUUUUGCUCCGCUCAUAUUAAUUUCGAUGUCACGUUACUUUGCAAUCAGUAGAAUCAAGCAUAAUCUCAAACAGAAACAAAAGUGUUGUUGUAAUUCCCCACAACACAACCAUCUUAAUUCCAAUAGAGUGAAAAAUAAGCAGGACAUCAGCAAAGAAUGCUUAUAUUAUCUUUGAUGAAAUCUGAAAAUAGUGUAUGUAGUACUGCACAUGAUAAUUUCUUAUAGGUAACUAUACAUGAGCAAGGAUGCAUUUUAAAGGCUUACAUGGGGCUAGUACCCUAAAGCAUCAAGAAAAUGCACCAAAACAGCUAACAUACCUGAAACUCAUUCACUAUGGAUAAGCACAUCAUGGCCAAGAUCAUCGAGUAGGAUAUAAAUAUAUGCGACUAGAAUUUCUGGGGGAGUAGGUGCAUGCCUGCACCCUUCGUGUGAGGAGGCGAUUGCCUACAAUCAAGAGAAACAGCUAAUAAAAUAAAUAUCUCAUAUAAUCCCAAUGCAGGAGAGGGGUGGUGUUUACAUGCUGUUUAGCAGGUUCCUACUCACAUACGAUGUGAUAAUUAUCAAUAUACCCUGCAAGAAUAUGCACAGAAAGAUGAAUCCAUCUAAAGUUUGUUUAACCAUUUUUAUACUAAAAAACAUGUGUUGUGCUACUCUGUGUGCUCAUACCUAGUGAAUGUACCAUGGAACAUCACGCACGCAUCCAUAUCAGACCACAAGAAUCAUUUAAGAAAAUAGGGGAAAUUAAGCAGGUACUUCACCACACAUAGAUCCAAAGUAACAAACUACAAAACAGAAUAUUACAAUUGCAUAGGACAAUACUAUCACGAACAAUAGCUUGCUAGUAUACCGAUCUAAUUCUGUUGGGGAUUCUCAAUUCGUGCACCUUUUCUAGAGGAGUAGGAUGGGGAGGAGAGUGAAGUACCUGUUGAUUCCGAGAAUCUGUACCGCAAGGUCGGGAACGCCGGGAAGCGGCGCCACU
rnacentral:lncRNA from 1 species